UCACUUUGGCAGUACAUAAAUUGAAACUGGAAGAAUGCAGAGAAGUCAGUGCAGCCCCUGCGUGAGGAAGACACACACAUUCAUGAAAUAUUUCCCAUUUCC